rnacentral:misc_RNA from 1 species
GAUGAAGAACGCAGUGAAAUGCGAUACGUAAUGUGAAUUGCAGAAUUCAGUGAAUCAUCGAAUCUUUGAACGCAUAUUGCGCUCUUUGGUAUUCCGAAGAGCAUGCUUGUUUGAGUAUCAGUAAACACCUCAAAGCUUUUGGAUUUUUUAAUCGAAAAGCUUUGGACUUGAGCAAUCCCAACACCAAUCUUUUUGAGAUCGGUGGCGGGUUGCUUGAAAUGCAGGUGCAGCUGGACAUUCUCCUGAGCUAAAAGCAUAUUCAUUUAGUCCCGUCAAACGGAUUAUUACUUUUGCUGCAGCUAACAUAAAGGGAGUUUGACCGUAUUGGCUGACUGAUGCAGGAUUUCACAAGGGUCGGCAACGAUUCUUGUUAAACUCGAUCUCAAAUCAAGUAAGACUACCCGCUGAACUUAAGCAUAUCAAAAGCGGAGGA